rnacentral:rRNA from 1 species
GAUGAACGCUGGCGGCGUGCUUAACACGUGCAAGUCGAACGGAAAGGCUCCUGCUUGCAGGGGUACUCGAGUGGCGAACGGGUGAGUAACACGUGGGUGAUCUGCCCUGCACUUCGGGAUAAGCCUGGGAAACUGGGUCUAAUACCGGAUAGGACGAUGGUUUGGAUGCCAUUGUGGAAAGUUUUUCGGUGUGGGAUGAGCUCGCGGCCUAUCAGCUUGUUGGUGGGGUAAUGGCCUACCAAGGCGUCGACGGGUAGCCGGCCUGAGAGGGUGUACGGCCACAUUGGGACUGAGAUACGGCGCAGACUCCUACGGGAGGCAGCAGUGGGGAAUAUUGCACAAUGGGCGCAAGCCUGAUGCAGCGACGCCGCGUGGGGGAUGACGGCCUUCGGGUUGUAAACUCCUUUCGCUAGGGACGAAGCGCAAGUGACGGUACCUGGAGAAGAAGCACCGGCUAACUACGUG